rnacentral:rRNA from 1 species
UACGAAGGGGGCAAGCGUUGUUCGGAAUUACUGGGCGUAAAGGGCUCGUAGGCGGCCAACUAAGUCAGACGUGAAAUCCCCCGGCUUAACCAGGGAACUGCGUCUGAUACUGGAUGGCUUGAGUUUGGGAGAGGGAUGCGGAAUUCCAGGUGUAGCGGUGAAAUGCGUAGAUAUCUGGAGGAACACCGGUGGCGAAGGCGACAUCCUGGACCAACACUGACGCUGAGUGAGCGAAAGCCAGGGGAGCAAACGGG